rnacentral:rRNA from 1 species
AUCGAACGCUGGCGGCAGGCCUAACACAUGCAAGUCGAACGAGUGGCGGACGGGUGAGUAAUGUCUGGGCAACUGCCCGAUGGAGGGGGUUAACUACUGGAAACGGUAGCUAAUACCGCAUAUUAUUGCAUGUUGCCAGAUGGGAUUAGCGGGUAGGUGGGGUAACGGCUUACCUGGGCGACGAUCCCUAGCUGGUCUGAGAGGUUGACCAGCAAAGCUGGAACUGGGAAACGGUCCAGACUCCUAGGGGAGGCAGAGGUGGGGAAGAUUGCACAAUGGGCGCAAGCCUGAUGCAGCCAUGCCGCGUAUAUAAGGAGGGCCUUCGGGUUUUAAGGUACUUUCAGCGAGGAGACGUUAAUCGCAGAAGAAGCGCCGGCUAACUCCGUGCCAGCAGCCGCGGUAAUAC